rnacentral:misc_RNA from 1 species
GACUCUUCUAGAUCCUUCAUUUGGCCAUGCUGCUUCUCCAUCAUCAGGUUCAGAGCUUCAACAUGUUUCAUUUUGCGUUUCAACUUCUUCACCUGUGCUUCAACCAAAGUAGAAACCAGAUAUUCUAUUUCUCUCUCUUCUUGAUUGGCCAACAAUUUGGCAUGAGCAGCAGCAGCACCUAUAGCAGUAGCAGUUGCGGCCCUCGUACGUAAAGUUAGUGAUAUACUGUUCCUCUGAGAGGCUUCCACUUCUGUUUCUGAUCUGACAUGCUUUUCUUCCCCUUCAGCACCUACAACUUGACUUGUCCUCUCUGUCUCACUAAAAUCAGCAAUUGAUACCAAUCCAUUAUCAUCUCCAUCAAAAAUGUCUGUUGAACACUGAUUCUCAUAGCAAAGGGCUGUAACAGCAGCCUCAGCUGCAGAUGCUGCGAUAUGUGGACCAACAGCACCAGAAAUGUGAGCUACCUGUUUCAUCAGGAAACUACUGUCUUCUGAGACUGGAGCCCUGCGUAUUUUCUUGAGGGGAGGGGUUUCGCAUUCAGCAUUUCCAUUCUGUUGACGCUCCUGGUUCUGCUCAUGAGAUUGAUUUCCAAGAGUUUCUCGAGACUCACUUAUUGCAGGUUGAGCUUGAUUCACGCCCCUUACCUCACGAUUCUUGUCCAAAAAAUUAAACUUUUUAUGAAUAGAACCAAGCAUAAGAUCCCCAAAUGGCAACUGUAUAAGCUUGGAGAUACAAUCCAGCUUACUCUUCGUUUUGACAUUUUGAGUAACAAGAUCCCAGUCAUCACCAUGCUUCAGUACAGAUUCUAAUAGGAGUAAAGUUUCGGCUUCGGUCCAGUUGACUUUAGGGUUCGCACCAUCUAUGGGCUUGAAUUCAUCUGCAAAUUUGUUUUUGUCAUAAUUACCACUUGUAAAACACUUCUCGCAUAAAUUCGAGCUCGCAUCCUUGCUGUACUCAUAAUGACCCGAAGCACACAGUUCUUUACAACUCAGACAGACUACACUUUCCUCCUUCUGCUGCCCCACCAACUCCCCAUAAACAUCUAGAUACGAUGCCAUAGGCGAAAACUUUGGUAUAUUAUCCACCGUACCACCACCCCUCCCCUUUCCAGCACCUCUGUGCCCUGUGAUAACCGGUGACGGAACCGGUGCAAGGGGUUUCAAAGAAUGAGGAGCUGCCACAACCCUAACCCCAUGUGGGGUCCCUUCUUCAACCCUAAUCCUCCACUUCUCAUCCUCCUUAUCCUCUUCCGCUGGAGCAUGAAUAGCAGCCGGC